rnacentral:pre_miRNA from 9 species
UCUCGAUAGCGUAAAAGUUAACUCAAAUUAGUAUGGAUUAGUAACGUUCGCCUACGGUUGCCGCUAGGGGCGCCGUUCCAACUGCAUACAAAUUUGAGUUAACUUUUGCGCGGUCGA